GUGCCAGCCGCCGCGGUAAUACGUAGGUGGCGAGCGUUAUCCGGAAUUACUGGGCGUAAAGGGCCCGCAGGCGGCUUCUUAAGUCUGACGUGAAAGCUCCUGGCUUAACUGGGAGAGGUCGUUGGAGACUGGGGGGCUUGAGGCGAUGAGAGGGGUGUGGAAUUCCCGGUGUAGUGGUGGAAUGCGUAGAUAUCGGGAGGAACACCAGUGGCGAAAGCGGCACCCUGGCAUCGGCCUGACGCUGAGGGGCGAAGGCGUGGGGAGCGAACGGGAUUAGAUACCCCGGUAGUCC
rnacentral:rRNA from 1 species